rnacentral:rRNA from 1 species
CUACGGGCUGCAGCAGUGGGGAAUAUUAGACAAUGGGGGAAACCCUGAUCCAGCAAUGCCGCGUGUGUGAAGAAGGCCUGCGGGUUGUAAAGCACUUUCGGUUGGGAGGACUGCUUCUAGCACUAAUAUUGUUGGAAGUUGACGUUACCUUCAGAAGAAGCACCGGCUAACUCCGUGCCAGCAGCCGCGGUAAUACGGGAGGGUGCAAGCGUUAAUCGGAAUUACUGGGCGUAAAGCGCGCGUAGGCGGCUAGAUCAGUCGGGUGUGAAAGCCCCGGGCUUAACCUGGGAACUGCAUCCGAUACUGUCUAGCUUGAGUACAGGAGAGGAGAGUGGAAUUCCACAUGUAGCGGUGAAAUGCGUAGAUAUGUGGAGGAACACCAAUGGCGAAGGCAGCUCUCUGGCCUGAUACUGACGCUGAGGUGCGAAAGCGUGGGGAGCAAACAGGAUUAGAUACCCUCGUAGUC